rnacentral:tRNA from 1 species
GGAAGCGUGGUUCAAUUUGUAGAGCUUCUGCCUGGCAAACAUAGGGCUCUGAAUUCAAACAUCAGUGCUACCA